UGAGGAAUAUUGGUCAAUGGGCGUAAGCCUGAACCAGCCAAGUAGCGUGAGGGAAGACUGCCCUAUGGGUUGUAAACCUCUUUUGUGCGGGGAUAAAGUGUGGGACGUGUCCCAUAUUGCAGGUACCGCACGAAUAAGGACCGGCUAAUUCCGUGCCAGCAGCCGCGGUAAUACGGAAGGUCCGGGCGUUAUCCGGAUUUAUUGGGUUUAAAGGGAGCGCAGGCCGUCCUUUAAGCGUGCUGUGAAAUGCCGCGGCUCAACCGUGGCACUGCAGCGCGAACUGGAGGACUUGAGUACGCACGAGGUAGGCGGAAUUCGUGGUGUAGCGGUGAAAUGCUUAGAUAUCACGAAGAACUCCGAUUGCGAAGGCAGCUUACCGGAGCGCAACUGACGCUGAGGCUCGAAAGCGCGGGUAUCGAACAGGAUUAGAUACCCUGGUAGUCCGCGCGGUAAAUGAUGGAUGCCCGCCGUUGGGAUUUGGAUUUCAGCGGCCAAGCGAAAGCGUUAAGCAUCCCACCUGGGGAGUACGCCGGCAACGGUGAAACUCAAAGGAAUUGACGGGGGCCCGCACAAGCGGAGGAACAUGUGGUUUAAUUCGAUGAUACGCGAGGAACCUUACCCGGGCUUGAAUUGCAGGAGAACGAUCCAGAGAUGGUGAGGCCCUUCGGGGCUCCUGUGAAGGUGCUGCAUGGUUGUCGUCAGCUCGUGCCGUGAGGUGUCGGCUCAAGUGCCAUAACGAGCGCAACCCCUGUCCAUAGUUGCCAUCAGGUCGUGCUGGGCACUCUGUGGAGACUGCCGCCGUAAGGUGUGAGGAAGGUGGGGAUGACGUCAAAUCAGCACGGCCCUUACGUCCGGAGCUACACACGUGUUACAAUGGGGCAUACAGCGAGUUGGAUGUGCGCAAGUACGUCCGGAUCAAUAAAGUGCCUCUCAGUUCGGACUGGGGUCUGCAACCCGACCCCACGAAGCUGGAUUCGCUAGUAAUCGCGCAUCAGCCAUGGCGCGGUGAAUACGUUCCC
rnacentral:rRNA from 1 species